AUUGAACGCUAGCGGGAUGCUUUACACAUGCCAGUCGAACGGCAGCGCGGACUUCGGUCUGGCGGCGAGUGGCGAACGGGUGAGUAAUGUAUCGGAACGUGCCCAGUAGCGGGGGAUAACUACGCGAAAGCGUAGCUAAUACCGCAUACGCCCUACGGGGGAAAGCAGGGGAUCGUAAGACCUUGCACUAUUGGAGCGGCCGAUAUCGGAUUAGCUAGUUGGUGAGGUAACGGCUCACCAAGGCGUCGAUCCGUAGCUGGUUUGAGAGGACGACCAGCCACACUGGGACUGAGACACGGCCCAGACUCCUACGGGAGGCAGCAGUGGGGAAUUUUGGACAAUGGGGGCAACCCUGAUCCAGCCAUCCCGCGUGUGCGAUGAAGGCCUUCGGGUUGUAAAGCACUUUUGGCAGGAAAGAAACGUCGCGGGCUAAUACCCCGUGGAACUGACGGUACCUGCAGAAUAAGCACCGGCUAACUACGUG
rnacentral:rRNA from 1 species